rnacentral:rRNA from 1 species
UACGUAGGGUGCGAGCGUUGUCCGGAAUUAUUGGGCGUAAAGGGCUCGUAGGCGGUUUGUCGCGUCGGGAGUGAAAACCAGGUGCUUAACACCUGGCUUGCUUUCGAUACGGGCAGACUAGAGGUAUGCAGGGGAGAACGGAAUUCCUGGUGUAGCGGUGAAAUGCGCAGAGUAUCAGGAGGAACACCGGUGGCGAAGGCGGUUCUCUGGGCAUGACCUGACGCUGAGGAGCGAAAGUGUGGGAGCGAACAGG